GAUGAACGCUAGCGGCAGGCUUAACACAUGCAAGUCGAGGGGUAACAGAGGUAGCUUGCUACUUGCUGACGACCGGCGCACGGGUGCGUAACGCGUAUAGAAUCUGCCUCAUACUGAGGGAUAGCCUUUGGAAACGAAGAUUAAUACCUCAUAGUAUCAUUUAACGGCAUCGUUUAGUGAUUAAAGGUUACGGUAUGAGAUGACUAUGCGUCCUAUUAGUUUGUUGGUAAGGUAACGGCUUACCAAGACUACGAUAGGUAGGGGCCCUGAGAGGGGGAUCCCCCACACUGGUACUGAGACACGGACCAGACUCCUACGGGAGGCAGCAGUGAGGAAUAUUGGACAAUGGAGGCAACUCUGAUCCAGCCAUGCCGCGUGAAGGAUGACUGCCCUAUGGGUUGUAAACUUCUUUUAUAUAGGAAGAAACAGUUUCUCGUGAGAAACCUUGACGGUACUAUAUGAAUAAGCACCGGCUAACUCCGUGC
rnacentral:rRNA from 1 species